rnacentral:rRNA from 1 species
UACGGGGGGGGCAAGCGUUGUUCGGAAUUACUGGGCGUAAAGAGCGCGCAGGCGGUCGUUCAAGUCGCGUGUGAAAGCCCCCGGCUCAACUGGGGAGGGUCACGCGAUACUGAUCGACUCGAAGGCAGGAGAGGGUAGUGGAAUUCCCGGUGUAGUGGUGAAAUGCGUAGAUAUCGGGAGGAACACCAGUGGCGAAGGCGACUACCUGGCCUGUUCUUGACGCUGAGGCGCGAAAGCUAGGGGAGCAAACGGGG